UCAUUGGAUCUUAAACCCACUUACUUGGAUAACUGUGGCAAUUCUAGAGCUAAUACAUGCGACCCGCCUCUGACCGCAAGGGAAGAGCGUUCUUAUUAGUCCAAAACUGGUCGGGCCUCGGUCCGUACUCCCAAGGUGGUGAAUCUGAAUAAUUUUGACCUGAGCGCAGGGUCUCUGCACCGGCGCCGUAUCUUUCAAGUGUCUGCCUUAUCAGCUCUCGACUGUAGGUUAUGUGCCUACAAUGGCUAUAACGGGUAACGGGGAAUCAGGGUUCGAUUCCGGAGAGGGAGCCUGAGAAACGGCUACCACAUCUAAGGAAGGCAGCAGGCACGCAAAUUACCCACUCCCGGCACGGGGAGGUAGUGACGAAAAAUAACGGUGCGAGACUCAUCCGAGGCCUCGCAAUCGGAAUGAGUACACUUUAAAUCCUAUAACGAGGAUCAAUUGGAGGGCAAGUCUGGUGCCAGCAGCCGCGGUAAUUCCAGCUCCAAUAGCGUAUAUUAAAGUUGUUGCGGUUAAAAAGCUCGUAGUUGACCCUCAGUUCCGGACUGACGGUGCACCGCCCGGUGUCUCUCCGUCAUGCUCCGAACAGCAGGGACGACCCUGCCCGGCCGGCUCGCACGGGGUGCUCUUCAUCGAGUGUCCCGCGUGGCCGGCGAGUUUACUUUGAAAAAAUUAGAGUGCUCAAAGCAGGCUACUCGAAUGGCCUGAAUGGUGAUGCAUGGAAUAAUGGAAUAGGACCUCGGUUCUAUUUUAUUGGUUUUCGGAACCCGAGGUAAUGACUAAUAGAAACAGGCGGGGGCAUUCGUACUGCGACGCUAGAGGUGAAAUUCUUGGACCGUCGCAAGACGAACUACUGCGAAAGCAUUUGCCAAGGAUGUUUUCAUUAAUCAAGAACGAAAGUUAGAGGUUCGAAGGCGAUCAGAUACCGCCCUAGUUCUAACCAUAAACGAUGCUGACUAGCGAUCCGCCGGCGUUAUUCCCAUGACCCGGCGGGCAGCUUCCGGGAAACCAAAGUCUUUGAGUUCCGGGGGAAGUAUGGUUGCAAAGCUGAAACUUAAAGGAAUUGACGGAAGGGCACCACCAGGAGUGGAGCCUGCGGCUUAAUUUGACUCAACACGGGGAACCUCACCAGGCCCGGACACCGGAAGGAUUGACAGAUUGAGAGCUCUUUCUCGAUUCGGUGGGUGGUGGUGCAUGGCCGUUCUUAGUUGGUGGAGCG
rnacentral:rRNA from 1 species